GUGCUCGCUUGGGCAGCACAUGUACUAAAAUUGGAACGAUACAGAGAAGAUUAGCAUGGCCAAUGGGAAAAAAAAAGAAAGAAAAAAACUGAAGAGAUAAAUGAUUCA
rnacentral:snRNA from 1 species